CACGUAGGGGGCGAGCGUUGUCCGGAAUCAUUGGGCGUAAAGAGCUCGUAGGCGGCUCAGUAAGUCGGGUGUGAAACCUCAGGCUCAACCUGGGAGCGCCACCCGAUACUGCGUGUAGCUAGAGUCCAGUAGGGGAGCGUGGAAUUCCUGGUGUAGCGGUGGAAUGCGCAGAUAUCAGGAGGAACACCGAUGGCGAAGGCAGUUCUCUGGGCAUUACCUGACGCUGAGGAGCGAAAGUGCGGGGGAGCGAACAGG
rnacentral:rRNA from 1 species